rnacentral:rRNA from 1 species
GAGUAGUAAUAGUUAUGUUCUUGAAACUUAAAGAAUUUGGCGGUAUUUUAAUCUAUUCAGAGGAACCUGUUCUAUAAUCGAUAAUCCACGAGGACUUUACUUAAUCUAGUUUUCAACUUGUAUACCGCCGUUAUUGAUUAUCUUUUAAGAGUAAUAAUUUUCCUUAAUUUUUAAAAGAAUAUCAGGUCAAGGUGCAGUUUAUGUUUAAGGAAGAAAUGGGUUACAAUAAAAAAAUUUAAACGGAAAGUUUAUUGAAAUAUGGCUUAGAAGGUGGAUUUGAUAGUAAAACUUUGUAUUUAGUGACUUUGAUUAUAGCUCUAAAAUAUGU